UCUACUUAGAAUAUGAGCAGGAAAAAAAAAAAAAGCCCAGCUAGAAAAUGAGAAAAAUAAGAAAGGGAUGAUCUACAAAAUCAAACUUCUCUUGAGCCCAUCAGAGAGCUGGGGUUGCCAGGAGGCCGAGCAGCUGAGGACCAGGGAGGUACUGCUGCGCCUCGGCAGCGCCCGGGAGGGACAGGUGGCCUCCGCUGUGAUCAGGUCCUGGAGAUCCUGGGCACAGAGCUGGGGAAUCUGCCUCAGGACCUUAUCAUCUCCAUUCCACAGCCAGGAAAGCUGAGGCUUGGAAGGCAAAACCACGGGUGUCACCAUGAGGAAGGCGAACCUGGUCCCCUGGAAAGUGACCCCUUGAUGCCUGGCGUGGGGUGUGCUGAGAGGAGGGGCCUAAGAAGCUCCUCCCCUGGUUCUCCAUCACAAUCCACAGACCCUCUCCUGGGCGUCCGAGGUCUGGCUAUCGACUCACUCUUCCUUAGUGGUGCUUCUGGGCCCCCCUGUGCCCGGCCUUGGGUGGACCACGUGGAAACUAGAAGGAUUUGUCGUGACCCCUGCCUGGCCAGUGAAGAGCACCGGGAGACAGCUGGACACUGGCCACGCCAGCAGGGGUGCUGAGGAGGGUCCGAAGGAGGAGCUGAUGCUGGAGGGGGCAGGGGACAGGGGACAGACAGCUCCUCUUCAGAUGCCCAGCCCCAGGCAGCGAGCCAGGACCCCAGAGCACUUAAGGUCUUGUGAAAAUGUUUAAGGCCUGAAAAAAUGUUCUGGGAUUAAAAUCCAAACAGAGAGCUGUGCCUCUGAAAUUGAUACAUGUUUAAUUAAAUGUCUAUAA